rnacentral:rRNA from 1 species
AUUGAACGCUGGCGGCAGGCUUAACACAUGCAAGUCGAGCGGAGAGAGGUAGCUUGCUACCGAUCUUAGCGCCGGACGGGUGAGUAAUGCUUAGGAAUCUGCCUAUUAGUGGGGGACAACAUUUCGAAAGGAAUGCUGAUACCGCAUACGUCCUACGGGAGAAAGCAGGGGAUCUUCGGACCUUGCGCUAAUAGAUGAGCCUAAGUCGGAUGAGCUAGUUGGUGGGGUGAAGGCCUACCAAGGCGACGAUCUGUAGCGGGUCUGAGAGGAUGAUCCGCCACACUGGGACUGAGGCACGGUCCAGACUCCUACGGGAGGCAGCAGUGGGGAAGAUUGGACAAUGGGCGGAAGCCUGAUCCAGCCAUGCCGCGUGUGUGAAGAAGGCCUUAUGGUUGUAAAGCACUUUAAGCGAGGAGGAGGCUACUUUAGUUAAUACCUAGAGAUAGUGGACGUUACUCGCAGAAUAAGCACCGGCUAACUCUGUGCCAGCAGCCGCCGCGGUAA